rnacentral:lncRNA from 1 species
GAGCGAGACUCCGUCUCAAAAAAAAAAAAAAAAAGAGAGAGUGUCAUGAUCAGAUUUGCAUUUGAAAAAUAUUACUCUAAUAGCACAGAGGAGGGAGGACUAUAGUGUGCAGAGGCAGUUAGGAGGUUACUGCUAUAGUGCAGCUAAGAGAUAAGAGCCUGGACGAAGCCAUUGGGAAUGCAGGUGGUGAUUGAAAUUAUUCCAGAGGUGAAAUCCCUGUGACUUGGUGAUUGACUGGGUGCAGGGAUGAUGCAUCUGAGAGCUCAAUGCAUGUCGGUGAUGAUGAAGGUGAAGAUGCUGUGAGUGAUGAUGAGGAGGAGGAGGAGGAUGUAAUUGAAGGAGCUUGGGCUUUGCCAUCAGUACAGCUGAGUUAAAAGGAGAAAGGGAGCAAAGAAGAAGAAGAAAGGAAAAACUGAAAAAAGAAACAUUGAGGCUCAUGUCUUGUUUUGUUUCUCAAAAGAUUCCAUUAGACUCAAUAUGUCAUUCUAAGUGCACCUGGAUAUAGCGCAGAUUUAGAUAACUGUCUCCUCCCCUUCUGACCUUUAUUACGACUACAAAAAUUCUGUGUGUGAGGGAUAAAUAAUGCAUGCUCUCAGCCAAGAAGGGAAAGAAGACCCAAGGAAAAAUUGCAGAAUA